UAUACUAAUCAAGAGUGCAUUAGACUGGUUGAUUCAGGCUAUAGAUUACCCCCUCCUCCAGGAUGUCCUAAACCAAUGUAUAAACUAAUGAUACAAUGCUGGAAUCCUGAUACUCAUAACCGACCAAGUUUCUCAGAUAUAUCAUCAAGUCUAUCCUCACCUGAUAAACAAUUACUAAUGAUUAAUAAAGAGGAUCCUGUUACUGUACUGGGUGGAGCUUUAAAAACAAGCCACUCCCUCUACACCGACUUACAGUACAUGUACAAGAACUGAUUGAUUGUGUAGCCAGUUUAUAUACUUGUACAUUGUGUUUAAUGUGUAUAAUAUUGAUUCUUUAAAUUAG